rnacentral:rRNA from 1 species
ACCUGCGGAAGGAUCAUUACCGAUCACGUUCUUCCCAAACGUAGAACACCGCGAACCGUAUGGAGAGUUGGGGGUCGCCCCGUCGAAGGCGUCAAACGAUGAGAGCCAGCGCCGACAUUCCCUACAUGGGGGUUCGGUCGAUUCUCACGGCCCCCACGUUUAUUUUUUUCUACCCCUAAACACCUUUCCAGCAGAAAAACUUGUCCCGUACAAGGGACAAAAAAAUUCAAAAGUUCAUAACUUUUAACGGUGGAUCUCUUGGCUCGUGCAUCGAUGAAGAACGCAGCCAGGUGCGAUAAGUAGUGUGAAUUGCAGAAUUCAGUGAAUCAUCGAAUCUUUGAACGCAAAUGGCGCUCUUGGGUUUUCCCAGGAGCACGUCUGUCUGAGUGUCGGUUUCCAAAACCAGCGCACGCUCGCGUGCGGUCUUGAGGUGUCGCGGCCCCCCUCCAUCCAUCGCAGGGAGGCCUCGUCCCUUGAAAUGGAGCACGACCGAUCUGUGCGGCCAGCGUUCGCCACUUCGGGAAGGCCAAAAGCUUCUUUGCCCUUUCCCGAGGCGUCGCCUGACCGCCGGUGCGGCCGGAGUUCGGCAGGUAGGCAGCCCUCGUGGCUGCUCACCCAUCCAUUCUUGACCUCAGAUCAGGCGAGAUUACCCGCUGAAUUUAAGCAUAUUAAUAAGCGGAGGAAAAGAAACUAACAAGGAUUCC